UAAAAAAAAAAAAAAGGUAAUUAAAGGAAUCCUAGAUAUUAAGUCAAAUACAACGUAAUUUUUUGCGUAAAUGUGUAAGGAGUGAUUAGUGUAAUGCUAUGAAUCUGUGAUUUACACGUAUUGUAAAAGAGUUAACUUAUCUAACAAAAGAAGUUAAAAUAACUAAAAACCUAGUGAAUUGAAACAUCUUAGUAACUAGAGGAAAAGAAAUCAAUCGAGAUUUUGUUAGUAGUGGUGAGCGAAAAUGAAUCUAGCCCUAAAAUUUUAAAUAAAAGUAUUUUAAAUUUCUAAAUGAAAUGCUAAAAAAGGUUAAGCCCUGUAAAAAUACUUAUUAAAAUUGAAUUGAGUAUUGCGAAACACGUGAAAUUUUGCAGGAAUCACAGGGGACCACCCUUGAAGGCUAAAUAUGACUUAAUAAUCGAUAGUGUAAUUAGUACUGUGAAGGAAAGGUUGAAAAGUGCUUCGAAAGGAGCGAUGAAACAAAGAAAUUAAUUACUAAUAACAGUUGGAGUAAAUAUUUUUAUUUAUGACAAUGUACCUUUUGCAUAAUGGGCCAGCGAGUUAUUUUAAUUAGCGAGUUUAAAAAAUUUAUUGUAAACGUAGCGAAAGCGAGUUUUAAAAGAGCGUGAAAGUUAAUUAUAAUAGACCCGAAGCUAAGUGAGCUAGCCAUGAGCAGGUUGAAGUUGUUGUAACAAAUAAUGAAGGACCGAACCCGUGUAUGUGAAAAGAUACUGGGAUGACUUAUGGUUAGGGGUGAAAGGCUAAACAAACUUAGCGAUAGCUGGUUUUCUACGAUAUCUAUUGAAGUAGAGUGUUAUACUUUGUUUUUUAGGGUAGAGUCACCUGUAGAACAAUGGGGACGAUUGUCUUACUGAAUUCUAUAAAACUCCGAAUAUGAAAAAUUUUUAGUAUAGCAAACAGACUAUGGAUGAUAAAGUCCUUGGUCGUGAGGGAAAGAGCCCAGACCAUCAGUUAAGGUCCUAAAAUACUACGUAGUGAGAAAGGAGGUAAUUAGUUAUGACCAUUAGGAAGUGGGUUUGGAAGCGGCCAUCUUUUAAAGAAAGCGUAAUAGCUCACUAGUGGAAUUAAUUAUUUCUAAAAAUGUAACGGGACUUUGUAGUAUACCGAAACUAUGGAUUCUUAAAAAAGAAUGGUAGUAGAACGUUUUGUAUGAUGUUGAAGAUCUUUUGAGAAAAAGAUUUGAAUUAUCAAAAGUGAGAAUGCUGGCAUGAGUAACGAUAAAUGAUAUGAAAAAUAUCAUCGCCGAAAGCCUAAGGAUUUCUACGCAAGGAUAAUCCUCGUAGAGUUAAUCGGCCCCUAAGAUUUGUUAGGAAACUAAUAAUUGAUGGGUAUAAGAUUAAUAUUUCUUUAUUAAGUAGAUAGUUACGAAAAAACUAAAUUUAAAUUUUUUUAAAAACUUUUUAAAUUUAAAAUAAGUUUUUUUCCUAGAAAAAACUAUAUUUAAAAAACCGUACUAAAAUCGACACAGAUAGGCUGGUAGAGUAUACUAAGGCGCUUGAGAGAACAAUAUUGAAGGAACUCGGCAAAAUGCACUCGUAACUUCGGGAGAAGAGUGGCCAAGAUUAUUUUUUGGUGGCACAGAAUUGGGGGUAGCGACUGUUUAAUAAAAACACAGGAUUCUGCUAAGUAGCAAUAUUAAGUAUAGAAUCUGACGCCUGCCCAGUGCUGUAAGGUAAAGAAUAUUUGUGCAAGCAAAUAUUUGAAGCCCACGGUAAACGGCAGCCGUAACUAUAACGGUUCGAAGGUAGCGAAAUUCCUUGUCAAUUAAUUGUUGACCUGCACGAACGGCGUAACGACUUCCCCGCUGUCUCCAAUAUUGACUCAGUGAAAUUGAAUUCUCCGUGCAGAUGCGGAGUACUAGUAGCUAGACGGAAAGACCCUAUACACCUUUACUGCAUCUUUAUAUUGGUAUUAAAAAUGGAUUACGUAGGAUAAAUCAGAGCUUAUGACGCCUAAAUUUCGGUUUACUGCAGAGGCAUCCUUGAAAUAUGAUUUUUUCUUAUUUUUAUACCUAAUAAAUUUUUUUUAGACAUUAUAUGGUUGGUAGUUUUGCUGGGGCGGCAGACUCCUAAAAAGUAACGGAGUUGUGCAAAGGUAAGCUCAAAAUAACAUUUAGUUAUUUGUAGAGUGUAAUGGCAUAAGCUUGCUUGACUGUAAUAUUGAUAAAUUAUACAGGGACGAAAGUCGGCCAUAGAGAUCCGAUGUUUCUUUGUGGAAAGGACAUCGCUCAACGGAUAAAAGGUACGUUAGGGAUAACAGGCUUAUAACUCUUGAGAGAUCUUAUCGACGGAGUUGUUUGGCACCUCGAUGUUGUUUCGUCACAUCCUGGAGCUGAAGCAGGUUCCAAGGGUUCGGUUGUUCGCCGAUUAAAGUGGUACGUGAAAUGAGUUUAGAGCGUCGUGAGACAGUUUGGCCCCUAUCUACUACUAGUAAGUUUAAAAAUUGAGAAGUGCUUUUCUUUGUACGAGAGGACCGGAAAAGCUAUACCAAUGGUUUAUCGGUUGUUGGGUUUACAGCAUUGCCGAAAAGCUACGUAUAAAUAUUAUAACUGCAGAAGGCAUCUAAGCGGGAAGAUAACUUCAAAAUCAAUUUUUAUUGCAAUGGUAUUAGAGAAAUACUUAGAUAGGUUAAUC
rnacentral:rRNA from 1 species